AUGAGUUAGGGUCUUCUAGGCCCGAUCUCCAACCCUUUGUAUAAAUACCAUGUUGCUUUGGCGGGCCCGUCUUUAACCGGACCGCCGAAGGUUUUUUAACCUUUGGCCAGUGCUCGUCAAUAGCCCACAAUCAAAUUCUUUUAACCAUGUCAAAUCUGAAAACUAGUUAAAUAAACUA
rnacentral:misc_RNA from 2 species